UGUCGCACCCAGAACAUGGCGAAGCUGCUGAAGAGAAGGUGGAGCUGGGCGGCCAUUGAGCUGGUGGAGUCCGGGGGCGGCCUCGUGUCCCCGGGGGUCCCUGCGCCUCGUUUGCAAGGGCUCGGGAUUCACCUUCAGCAGCUCUGCCAUGCAGUGGGCGCGACAGGCGCCCAACGGGGGGCUCGAGUAUGUCGCAGCAAUUAAUAGCGCUGGUAGUAGCACCUACUACGCGCCAUCGGUCAAGGGCCGGGCCACCAUCUCGAGGGACAACGGGCAGAGCACGGUGACGCUGCAGCUGAACAGCCUCAAGGCCGAGGACACGGCCACUUAUUACUGCGCCAAACGUGGUGCUGGUGGUUAUGGUGCUGAUUAUGCUGCUGGUGAAACCGAUGCCAACGUCCCUGCUCUGGGUCCCCAAACGUGCCCCGGUUCACAGCACAAAAUGGUGGGAGCGCCUGGAAACGGAAGGGAAGGGGAUCAAGAUGGAGCCAGGGCAAAAAUGGUCAAGAUUUGGGGUAAAAAGAGUGGAGAUUUGGGUGAAACAAUGAAGAUUUAGGGCCCGGCGGUUGAUCAGACCCGCACCACCAUAAUCAAAAGCCCGUUUGGCGCAGUAAUAAGUGGCCGUGUCCUGGGCCCUGAGGCCGUUCAGCUGCAGCGUCGCCGUGCUCAGGCCGUUGUCCCUCGAGAUGGUGGCCCGGCCCUGGACCGAUGGCCCGUACCAGGUGCUACCACCAGUAUUAAUAA